UACGUAGGGGGCGAGCGUUAAUCGGAAUUACUGGGCGUAAAGCGUGCGUAGGCGGUCCGCGAAGUCUGAUGUGAAAUCCCCGGGCUUAACCUGGGAACUGCAUUUGUGACUGCACGGCUAGAGUGCGGCAGAGGGGGAUGGAAUUCCGCGUGUAGCAGUGAAAUGCGUAGAUAUGCGGAGGAACACCGAUGGCGAAGGCAAUCCCCUGGGCCUGCACUGACGCUCAUGCACGAAAGCGUGGGGAGCAAACAGG
rnacentral:rRNA from 1 species